rfam:Drosophila ananassae strain TSC#14024-0371.13 Ctg01_19627, whole genome shotgun sequence.
CCGUUCUUGUGUUUUUUGCUGGAUAAUCUCCUCAAGACCAGUGAUUGUCAAAAAGAACGAAGACUAUAGGCAGCUAAUCACUCCAUAAUGUUGAGCCGACUAUUCAGGGCUACUGCAUUACUAAAUGUAUGCUACAUAG